UACGUAGGGUGCAAGCGUUAAUCGGAAUUACUGGGCGUAAAGCGUGCGCAGGCGGUUUUGUAAGUUUGUCGUGAAAUCCCCGGGCUCAACCUGGGAAUUGCGAUGAAGACUGCAAGGCUAGAAUCUGGCAGAGGGGGGUAGAAUUCCACGUGUAGCAGUGAAAUGCGUAGAGAUGUGGAGGAACACCGAUGGCGAAGGCAGCCCCCUGGGUCAAGAUUGACGCUCAUGCACGAA
rnacentral:rRNA from 1 species